rnacentral:rRNA from 1 species
UAAGGAAUAUUGGACAAUGCCCGCAAGGGUGAUCCAGCCAUGCCGCGUGCAGGAAGACGGCCCUAUGGGUUGUAAACUGCUUUUGUACCAGGGAAAACCCCCGCUCGUGAGCGGGGCUGAUAGUAUGGUAAGAAUAAGCAUCGGCUAACUUCGUGCCAGCAGCCGCGGUAAGACGAAGGAUGCAAGCGUUAUCCGGAUUCAUUGGGUUUAAAGGGAGCGUAGGUGGCCUUAUAAGUCAGUGGUGAAAUCUCGCAGCUUAACUGUGAAAUUGCCAUUGAUACUGUAGGGCUUGAGUACAGAUGCCGUUGGCGGAAUAUGACAUGUAGUGGUGAAAUACAUAGAGAUGUCAUAGAACACCGAUUGCGAAGGCAGCUGACGAAACUGUAACUGACACUGAGGCUCGAAAGUGCGGGGAUCAAACAGGAUUAGAUACCCGUGUAGUCC